AUCGCACAUGCGCAAAAGCCCUGUUGAUGGCGAAAGGAAGUCCUUAUGCCAGCAGUUUGCGAAUUGGUCGGAAGUUGCAACUAGACACUGCAAGUUGCUAAGCGACCAGUUUUGUAAAUCCGCAACUUGGGUUAGUGGAUGGCAGUUAGCUGUUUUCGCUUGUGAAUUAAUUAGCGUGUUUAAACGUCUGAAAAAAUUCUGAUUGCUGUCAAUUCACGUCCAAGUCCAUCCUCCGUGGAGCUGCUGUCAAGUCGGCCACCUGGUUCCCUCCCUGGCCUGUUUGCAGUCUCGGGUACCUUGAGCCCCCCAGGGGCUCUUUGGGCCUCAAUUUCCUCCUGCAUGAUGUGGAUAAUAAUGCCUAACUUCCAGGGCUGAUCUUAAUUAGGGUCAAGUGAAAUUAACACGUGAACAACUCUUGCGGAAUGUAACGUUCUCUAGAAAUGUUAAGGGACUGUUAUGACUCAUAUACAGGCCCACUCCACAUAUUUCAGAUUGUUGGUGUUUCUUCCCCUUUUAGAAGUGUCUGAAGAAGAAAGAGAAGGAAAGAAGGUGAGGGAGGAAAGAAAAGAGAGACGGAGGAGAGGAAGAAAGAGAAGGGAGGGAAGGACAAAGCACGAGGAAGGGAUAUCGUGAGGCUGUGGUGCAAACACUAGAUCCUCUACUCUGCUCAGUGUAGUCUGCAUAUCUUGACCUCCUCAGGAAGCUUUUGGACCUGUGGGAUCUUUUUAUAAAAUACAGAUUCAGUAGAUCCAAGGUGAGCCCGAGAACCCACAUUUCUACCAAGCUCCCGGCUGAGGUUGCUGGGCCCCAAACUACAGAUAUUUAUGAAUGUUUACAGUUUAUAUUUCCAUUUCUAGUGUGCACAUCAGACCACAUGUGAAGCACUUCACAUGCACCAGUGUAGUGCAUGUACACAGACUCUGGAUUUCUGUUCCAGCGCCACUGCUUAUUAGUUAUGGGACUUGGGAAAGAGUUAAGAAUAUAUGUUCUUUCCACAACAGUAUUUACCAACUAAAACAAAACUAAUGAAAAGCCUCUGGCAAUCACAAAUUCUUCUGAUUUAUUUUUAUAUCCACCCUCCAAAUCUUAAUUUGUUAGGUCACACUCAUGAUGAUGACAGGAAGGCAGAUGUUAGUUAUCAAGUAAAGGCCAACAGCACUAACAUCAUGUAUGUGGACACCAAGUAGCUCAAUGACGGUGCAGUUAAGCCUCCCAGACCUUCGUAUGGUUUGAGCAGUGAGCUCCAAUAUGUAUGGCCAGCAACUGAGAUUGAGGGACUUUAGAUUACACUGAGUAUGUAUUAUUUGUAAUUCAUUAAAGAUUCUGGGCCAUGGAAGUUGGAAGUUAGUCUAUCAC